CAAUGCCAAGGAGUCCUGCAUUCAUAGUUCUCCCUGACUGAGAAUGGAGGUGUUCUAGUUUCAUUCUGUAGCUAUGACCGAAUGCUAGUCAAAGAGCUGGGGACCGAACCCAGGGCCUUGCGCUUGCUAGGCAAGCGCUCUACCACUGAGUCAAAUCCCCAACCCCCUGACGCAGUUCUUUAUACCCA